ACCAAUAAAUAUAAAAAAAUAUAUGUAAUUUUAAUGAAAAAGUACUCUUUAUAAAAAUACAUUAAACCGAUUACACUCUGAAUAAAUACUACCACUACAUUAUAUAAUAACCCGAAACAAACACUCCUAAUUGAAUAGAUCGGCCACUGAUACCUCACUCUCAUCAGUGUUGAUUAGGACAGAAGGUGACCAGAUAAUUUCCACGAGUGCAGGUCGCAAUGCUAGUAGGAUCAUCGUAAGCAUACGAGUAGGCCUUCGGACAAGCUGCCUUGAAGAUCCUCGAAUAAGCAGUUGGCUUGCAAGCUUGGGGCGUUCCAUAGCUACCAGUACAGCAAUACCUCGGGGAAUUGAAAGCAGAGCAAGCACUCUUACAAGCCACGACCCUGUUGUUGUCUUUUGACCUGACUUGUAACCCUACAGGACACAUCAUGUUCAAGUCACGAACACACCCUGCAUAGCUGCAUUUGCCUGAGCCUUUAAAUGGAGUUAUUGAGAUUGCAAGAUUGUAGCCAUCUACAAGGCUAACAUCAUAGAAAUCCUGGUCAUUUCCCAGGGUGAUUUCUGCUAGCGUGGCAGGUGGGGUGCCUCCGAUCCCAUUGCAAAAGAGGGAGCCACCACAGUCUCCAGUAGCACAGCGGCCGCGCCCGGAGGCGUCAAAGGAGCAGCCAUGGCGACCCCAGAAACGGCCGGACCAGAGUGGCGGGAGGUUGAGGGUGUAGGCCUUGUUGGGUGGGAGCUUGAACCCUCCACGGGCUAACAAGGGCCUUCCUGCACUUGGUUGGACGCCUGGCCACACUGGAUGGGUGCACUUGUUGUGAAGUGUUAUUGUUGUUGAUG
rnacentral:lncRNA from 1 species